CCACACUGACAGCACCAGAGGUCAGGAAUGGAUCUGGAUCACUGGCUUUGUAAGACGAUCGCUUAUCGUGACAGGGCUCAGAAGAAGAGCAUCUGCUUUGAGUGUCGCUCAUCAGGUAUGCAAAUGACAAGGGCUUUCCAAUGGAGCAAAAUUAUUCACGUUCUUUUUGAACAGUACCUGAACAAGCAAAUAUAUGCCCAUCUGUGGUCCCUAACCCGCGGGACAG